GCUUGAGAGAACUCGGGUGAAGGAACUAGGCAAAAUAGCACCGUAACUUCGGGAGAAGGCACGCUGAUAUGUAGGUGAAGCGACUUGCUCGUGGAGCUGAAAUCAGUCGAAGAUACCAGCUGGCUGCAACUGUUUAUUAAAAACACAGCACUCUGCAAACACGAAAGUGGACGUAUAGGGUGUGAUGCCUGCCCGGUGCGGAAGGUUAAUUGAUGGGGUCAGCGCAAGCGAAGCUCGAUCGAAGCCCCGUAAACGGCGGCCGUAACUAUAACGGUCCUAAGGUAGCGAAAUUCCUUGUCGGGUAAGUUCCGACCUGCACGAAUGGCAUAAUGAUGGCCAGGCUGUCUCCACCCGAGACUCAGUGAAAUUGAAAUCGCGUGAAGAUGCGGUGUACCCGCGGCUAGACGGAAAGACCCCG
rnacentral:rRNA from 1 species